AUGGAUAAUUUAAUCCAGAAUCUGCCUGGUGCCUACCCUAAUACCCCAUUGGAUCAACUUGCCAUUAUCCCAAUAAUUGAUCUUCAUGUGGGCAACUUUUAUUUAUCAUUUACAAAUGAAGUCUUGUAUAUGCUGCUCACUGUCCUUUUGGUUGUUUUUCUUUUUUUUGUUAUUAUGAAAAAGGGAGGUGGAAAGUCAGUGCCAAAUGCAUGGCAAUCCUUGGUCGAGCUUAUUUAUGAUUUCGUCCUGAACCUGGUAAACGAACAAAUAGGUGGUCUUUCCAGAAAUGUGAAACAAAAGUUUUUCCCUCGCAUCUCGGUCACUUUUACUUUUUCGUUAUUUCGUAAUCCCCAGGGAGAUCUUGGUCCCUUAUUUAUAGUUCUAGCAUUAACCGGUCUGGAAUUAGGUGUAGCGAUAUCACAAGCUCAUGUUUCUACGAUCUCAAUUUGUAUUUACUUGAAUGAUGCUACAAAUCUCCAUCAAAAUGAGUCAUUUCAUAAUUGA
rnacentral:rRNA from 1 species